UUUUGUACUUUGGUGAUUGCUCUGCAUUAUUUAGUACAAUAUUAUAAUUUGGCUAUAACAAAUUUGAAUAACAUCAUAAAACAUUGUUUCAACGGCAAAUUAUAAUAAUUUUAUAUUAAGUCUGAAAGCUUUUCUUAAAAUAAAAUAUACUCCAAAGAAAAUCAUAGAGAGGUAGUUAUGUCAUGCAUUAUGUCCUAGCAUUGGACAGACGAAAAAGAACAAUUCAUGUCGUUCCUACUAUCUUUUUCUACACUGCAAAAACUUGGUCUAAGAU
rnacentral:lncRNA from 1 species